GUGCCCGCUUCGGUAGCACAUAUACUAAUAUUGGAACGAUAGAGAGAAGAUUAGCUUGGACCCUGCGCAAGGAUGACACGCAAAUUCGUGGAGCGUUCCAUAUUUUU
ensembl:snRNA Gm26435 predicted gene, 26435